AUGCUUUCACAACUUGACUUUAAAAUAUUUGGUUUGGAGACCAUCAAAGAUCAAUAUGUUCAUGAUGCUGAAUUUAAAGAUGUAUUGCAGAAUUGUAAGGAAGGGAGAACUUGGAACAAGUUCGUUCUUAACGAUGGAUUUGUGUUUCGUGCUAACAAACUAUGCAUUCCAGCUAGCUCCGUUCGUCUUUUGUUGUUGCAGGAGGCGCAUGGAGGAGGAUUAAUGGGACACUUUGGCGUCAAGAAGACGGAGGAUAUACUUGCGACACAUUUCUUUUGGCCAAAGAUGAGACGGGAUGUUGAGCGUUUUGUUGCUCGCUGCACUACAUGUCAAAGAGCUAAGUCACGACUCAAUCCUCAUGGUUUAUAUAUGCCUUUGCCUGUCCCUAGUGUUCCUUGGGAGGAUAUAUCUAUGGACUUUGUUUUAGGUUUACCUCGAACAAAGAAGGGGAGGGAUAGCAUCUUUGUUGUCGUGGAUAGGUUCUCGAAAAUGGCACACUUUAUACCAUGUCAUAAAAGCGAUGAUGCUGUUAAUGUUGCUGAUUUGUUCUUUCGUGAAAUUAUUCGCUUACAUGGUGUGCCAAAUACUAUUGUUUCAGAUCGUGAUACUAAAUUUCUUAGCCACUUUUGGAGAUGUUUAUGGGCUAAGUUGGGGACUAAGCUGCUUUUUAGUACUACUUGUCACCCCCAAACUGAUGGACAAACUGAAGUAGUCAAUAGAACAUUGUCUACUAUGCUUAGGGCUGUUUUGAAGAAUAACAAGAAAAUGUGGGAAGAAUGCUUGCCUCAUAUUGAAUUUGCUUAUAAUCGUUCAUUGCAUUCUACUACUAAGAUGUGCCCAUUUGAAAUUGUGUAUGGUUUCCUACCUCGUGCACCUAUUGAUUUGUUGCCUCUUCCAUCUUCAGAGAAGGUUAAUUUUGAUGCUAAAGAACGUUCUGAAUUGAUUUUAAAAAUGCAUGAGUUAACUAAGGAAAACAUUGAGCGUAUGAAUGCUAAAUAUAAACUUGCUGGAGAUAAGGGUAGAAAACAUGUUGUGUUUGCGCCUGGAGAUCUUGUUUGGUUACAUUUGCGUAAAGAUAGAUUUCCUAAUUUGCGCAAAUCAAAGCUAAUGCCACGUGCUGAUGGUCCUUUUAAGGUGUUAGAGAAAAUAAAUGAUAAUGCAUAUAAACUUGAGCUACCUGUAGAUUUUGGGGUUAGUCCCACUUUUAACAUUGCAGAUUUGAAGCCUUAUUUGGGUGCGGAAGAUGCGCUUCCGUCGAGGACGACUUCAUUUCAAGAAGGGGAGGAUGAUGAGGACAUCAAUACCAUUGUUGCACCCACAGCCCCUACUGUUACAUAUACUGGACCAAUUACUAGAGCUCGCGCACGCCAAUUAAAUUACCAGGUACUUUCGUUUCUUGGUAAUGAUUCUAAUGUUCAUGAGAUUAUGAUGCUGCCUAAAUUGGAUACAUUUGUUUUGCUUACAAAUGAAGGGCCUAGCUUGGAGAAGGAUGAACAUUGGAGCAAGAACACACAUGGAGUUGAUGGCAUGCGCAAGGGGAUCAAGAAUGGAGUUACAAGUGAUGAUUUCAGGACUUUAAAGCCGCCAUAA
rnacentral:rRNA from 1 species